UCAUUUCACCACAGAAACCAAACAUGGCGGUUAUAUAUACUGGUAAAUUUCACACUAAUUCCUUGGGGAAUUCCCUAUAAUUUUUGGCCUUACCAAAAUAACAAUAGAAGAUCUCAGAAUUCUUAGUAUUGGAAAGACACCACUCAGAAUGAGAGCUCUGAGCCUGGAAUGCUCCGCUGUGAACAGAAUGGUAGGAGGACAUACCAACAUCCUUUUCAACAACACCAUAAAACAUAUGAAGAGUUAUGUAAGUAUUUUGGGAUACCAAUACUCACAGAAGAAGGGUAAAAGGAUUUUGUACACUUGAGAGUGGAAAGUGUGUCUCUUAUACAAGCAGCAUUGCAGAGGGGAAAAUCAAGAAACAUCAUAUAAAGGAAACUUGAUUCUUCUCUCAAGACCAUGUUCUAACUCACUGUUUACCCACAGAGGAAGCCAAAAUAUGGCUGCUUGCUGCUUUGGUUGGAUUAUUUGAAGACUGAAUGAAUGAAGCAUUUGAAUAAAAUUGUAUAAUUUACAGCAUGCUGGUGGGAGUAUUUGCCUGUAACAGAAAAGUCAUUACACUCAUAUUAAAAUACCCCCCAAAUGUACCCAUAAUCCAGAAGAAACAGAUAUCCAGGCACCAGCUCACCAUUUCAAUUCUAUAUUUACAUUUCCCUGCAGAUGGCCAUUAGGAAGACCAGAACUGUACUUUUCAUAACCACAAGCACUGUCAGAGGACUUGCAUCUUGUUAAGAAUAUGUACAGAUUAGUGACAAAAGUAGUACUCAUGAAUUACAUCAGUAAAAGUUAGAUCUUAUUUA